rnacentral:rRNA from 1 species
GACGAACGCUGGCGGCGUGCCUAAUACAUGCAAGUCGAACGCAGUGGGGACGGGUGAGUAACACGUGGGUAACCUCCCAUCAGAGGGGAUAACACUUGGAAACAGGUGCUAAACCGAUACUGAUGGAUGGACCCGCGGUGCAUUCGCUAGUUGGUGAGGUAACGGCUCACCAAGGCCACGAUGCAUAGCCGGCCUGGAGGGUGUGUCGGGCACACUGGGACUGGGACACGGCCCAAGCUCCGACGGGAGGCAGCAGGAGGGAAUCUUCGGAAAUUGGGGGAACCCUGACCGAGCAACGCCGCGGGAGUGGAGAAGGUGUUCGGAUCGUAAAGCUCUGUUGUUAAGGAAGCGGUACUUAACCAGAAAGGGACGGCUAACUACGUGCCAGCAGCCGCGGUAAUUC